rnacentral:rRNA from 1 species
AUUGAACGCUGGCGGCAUGCUUUACACAUGCAAGUCGAACGGCAGCACGGGGGCAACCCUGGUGGCGAGUGGCGAACGGGUGAGUAAUGCAUCGGAACGUACCCAGUCGUGGGGGACAACGUAGCGAAAGUUACGCUAAUACCGCAUACGACCUGAGGGUGAAAGCAGGGGAUCGCAAGACCUUGCGCGAUUGGAGCGGCCGAUGUCAGAUUAGCUAGUUGGUGGGGUAAAGGCUCACCAAGGCGACGAUCUGUAGCGGGUCUGAGAGGAUGAUCCGCCACACUGGGACUGAGACACGGCCCAGACUCCUACGGGAGGCAGCAGUGGGGAAUUUUGGACAAUGGGGGCAACCCUGAUCCAGCCAUGCCGCGUGCGGGAAGAAGGCCUUCGGGUUGUAAACCGCUUUCGGACAGAAAGAAAUCGCAUGGGCUAAUACCCUGUGUGGAUGACGGUACUGUAAGAAGAAGCACCGGCUAACUACGUGCCAGCAGCCGCCGUAAGAC